GGUGUCGUAUCUAUGUUAUGCCAUCUGCUUCUGUGCUUCUGUGCUGUACUAUGUGUUUGUGUGAUAUCUCGUGACUUGAGCCGGGGGUCUUUCGGAAACAGCCUUUCUACUUCAUCAGAGGUAGAGGUAUGGACUGCGUACAUCUUACCCCCCCCAGACCCCACUAAGUGGGAAUACACUGGGUUUGUUGUUGUUGUUGU
rnacentral:lncRNA from 1 species